AGCUCCAAUAGCGUAUAUUAAAGUUGUUGCAGUUAAAAAGCUCGUAGUUGGAUUUCUGGCUGGGCAUGUGGGUCCACUCUUUGAGUUGAUACCAUAUAUGUCUGGCCACCCUUUGGAAGAGCCACAGUGGCAUUAAGUUGUAGAUGUGGGGAUCUCAAUCCUUUACUGUGAAGAACUUAGAGUGUUCAAAGCAGGCUUACGCUGUUGAAUAUAUUAGCAUUGACUAAUGAUAUAGGACUAUUGUACUAUUUUUUUGGUUUGCAAGUAAUAGUAAUGAUUAAUAGAGGCAGUUGGGGGUAUUUGUAUUCCAUUUUCAGAGGUGAAAUUCUUGGAUUUUUGGAGGACAAACUACUGCGAAAGCAUUUACCAAAGAUAUUUUCA
rnacentral:rRNA from 1 species